UGUUACUUUACGAUUGGUGAGAUCUAUGAGUAAUCUAAAACAGAGAUUACACACAUUGGGUCACCGAGUUUUGAGUUUUCAGCCUCACUGUCCAAUAAAUAGAACCAAAAUAUCUCCAUUAUGUAAUAUAAUACUGUGGUACUUUUCACCCUCCAAAAUCCAUCACCUCCCUCCAUAAUCAAAACCCAUACUUUCAAGUUUCAACUCUUUUCCCCUCCGCAUGGAAGCCAAAUCCAAAUCACAGGCACACUUUCUCUAUCAACUGAGUGGGAAAUGCUUUGCCCUCUAUCAUCAUCUUCUCUCUAAACUUUCACUUUUACCAUUGAACCAUACAACGAUGCACACAAGAAGGGUGUCCAGGUAAAAGUCUCAAUAUUCAAGAGGAAGAUUGGAAAUUAAUUUGUGUAAGUGGUUAUUGAUAUUGAAAAACAAGUUCCUGAAUGCUGCCAGGGCUCAAUAGGGUUGAAGACAUGACAGUGAGAUGAACCUCAUUUUUGCGUACAAAACCCUGUCAGAAAGGCUUAUUUCUCCUUUGACAGUGAUUUUAAUUUUGCAAUCUUAUUUAUUCAAAUUAUGCACGGAUAAUUGGAAAUAGUGGUGAACCUUCUUUUCUCCGUUUCUUUUGUCCUUGUCCUAUUUUGUUUAGUGGGAAAAAUCAAUUCCAUUUU